UGGGGAAUAUUGCACAAUGGGCGCAAGCCUGAUGCAGCCAUGCCGCGUGUAUGAAGAAGGCCUUCGGGUUGUAAAGUACUUUCAGCGGGGAGGAAGGUGUUGAGGCUAAUAACCUCAGCAAUUGACGUUACCCGCAGAAGAAGCACCGGCUAACUCCGUGCCAGCAGCCGCGGUAAUACGGAGGGUGCAAGCGUUAAUCGGAAUUACUGGGCGUAAAGCGCACGCAGGCGGUCUGUCAAGUCGGAUGUGAAAUCCCCGGGCUCAACCUGGGAACUGCAUUCGAAACUGGUAGGCUAGAGUCUUGUAGAGGGGGGUAGAAUUCCAGGUGUAGCGGUGAAAUGCGUAGAGAUCUGGAGGAAUACCGGUGGCGAAGGCGGCCCCCUGGACAAAGACUGACGCUCAGGUGCGAAAGCGUGGGGAGCAAACA
rnacentral:rRNA from 1 species